UACGGAGGGUGCGAGCGUUGUCCGGAAUCACUGGGCGUAAAGGGCGCGUAGGCGGCGCGAUAAGGCGGCGGUGAAAGUCCGGGGCUCAACCCCGGAUCGGCCGUGGCGACUGUCGCGCUGGAGCACAGUAGAGGCGGGUGGAAUUCCGGGUGUAGCGGUGGAAUGCGUAGAGAUCCGGAAGAACACCUGUGGCGAAGGCGGCCCGCUGGGCUGUGGCUGACGCUGAGGCGCGACAGCGUGGGGAGCAAACAGG
rnacentral:rRNA from 1 species